rnacentral:rRNA from 1 species
UACAGAGGGUGCGAGCGUUAAUCGGAAUUACUGGGCGUAAAGCGCACGUAGGUGGCGACGUAAGUCGGGUGUGAAAUCCCUGGGCUCAACCUGGGAACGGCAUUCGAGACUGUGUUGCUGGAGUACGGAAGAGGAGGGCGGAAUUCCCGGUGUAGCGGUGAAAUGCGUAGAUAUCGGGAGGAACAUCAGUGGCGAAGGGCGGCCCUCUGGUCCAGUACUGACACUCAAGUGGCGAAAAGCGUGGGGGAGCAAAACAGGGAUUAGAAAACCCCC